rnacentral:rRNA from 1 species
AUCAACUUUCGAUGGUAGGAUAGAGGCCUACCAUGGUGGUAACGGGUAACGGGGUGUUAGGGCACGACACCGGAGAGGGAGCCUGAGAAACGGCUACCACAUCCAAGGAUGGCAGCAGGCGCGCAAAUUACCCAAUCCCGACACGGGGAGGUAGUGACAAUAAAUAACAAUACGGGGUUCUUUAGGAUUUCGUAAUUGGAAUGAGUACAAUUUAAAUCUCUUAACGAGGAACAAUUGGAGGGCAAGUCUGGUGCCAGCAGCCGCGGUAAUUCCAGCUCCAAUAGCGUAUAUUAAAGUUGUUGCAGUUAAAAAGCUCGUAGUUGAAUUUCGGGGUUAGUAGAUUGGUCGUGCCACUGGUACGUACUGGUCUCACUGAUUCCUCCUUCCUGAUGAACUGUAAUGCCAUUAAUUUGGUGUUGCAGGGAAACUGGACUGUUACUUUGAAAAAAUUAGAGUGUUUAAAGCAAGCUAACGCUUGAAUACAUUAGCAUGGAAUAAUGAAAUAGGACGUUCGAUCCUAUUUUGUUGGUUUCUAGGAUUGACGUAAUGAUUAAUAGGGAUAGUUGGGGGCAUUAGUAUUCAAUUGUCAGAGGUGAAAUUCUUGGAUUUAUUGAAGACUAACUACUGCGAAAGCAUUUGCCAAGGAUGUUUUCAUUAAUCAAGAACGAAAGUUAGGGGAUCGAAGACGAUCAGAUACCGUCGUAGUCUUAACCAUAAACUAUGCCGACUAGGGAUCGGAUGAUGUUAAUUUUUAAUGACUCAUUCGGCGCCUUACGGGAAACCAAAGUGUUUGGGUUC